AUUAAGCAUUGCUUUGCUUGUCGGCUAUUAGUAAUGUAAACUUGACAUGUAGAGUGCUCAGAUUAUCAACACGCGCCUGUUGAGCGCACUUCGCUUCGUUGAUUCUUAUCUAAGUGCUGGGCUCUGUGAUUUCGCUGCCAAUCUUAAUAAGUGAUUAGAUAAAGUGGCCGAGUGAAACACUGAAAAUUAAAGUGUCUUCUUUUAACUAAUUCGCGCCUUUAUAUGCAUCUGUUUUUAUUAUUUGGUAUUCAUAUUUUGGCUUUAUGUGCAUACAACCAUUUAUAUCGCGCUGACAAGGCUAAAUGUUAGAUGACAAAACGUCGGUGACAUUAAUCAAUGGCUAUACAUCUUGUUGACCGGUUUGUUGAUAAACACUAACAAAUAUGUGUGGGUAUGUGGUAUGAGUGUUGGUAAAUUCGUAAGGGCAUCACUAGGUGCCUUGUGAGAAAUUGCAGCGAGUGUUAGCGAGCACUCCAGAAAAUUCAGGAAAGUGUUAUUAUAAACAUUUUUUCAGAGAAUUUAAUCUAAUCUCGGACUUUUAUCUUGUGUACUGGCUGAUAACAUUAACAAAUCUUAACUUGAUUUUAGAUAUUUAUUUCCAAAAGAUUCUUUUCAAGAUUGUUAAACAUUUUUACAAGACAAUUUGCUAAAGUAUAUAGAAUUGUAUGCCUCCAAAAAAUACGUAUAAUAUAUAUAUAUAUAUAUAGAUAUAUAAAUAGAAUUAAGAUCUGUAGAGAAUUACGGUGUUGAAGUAAAAGUAUUAUUUAGGAGUUGAUUGUUUGUGAAUUAUUUGCCAGAAAUCAUACGAAACUGUGCCCCAGCAAAUUUUUUUUUAUACUUCUUAAAAGAAAAAAAAAAAAACAAUAGCUUAAUUCUGAGUAUGCAAUUAUGUUUAUUAAUGCUUUAUUUGCUCAUAGUACAGUUAGUAUUAGUCCACUAUGCAGAUCGGGUCGAUUCAUAGGAAAUAGGUAUAUGUGCAAAAUGAUCUCGACUAUUUGAAUUAUAAAAAACAACUAAUGAUGUAAGCAAUAAUUGAAAAAUAAUUUCAUGUAUAUAAAAACAACAACUAACUUUCAUUUUAGUUAAAAAUGUGACUUGGAAUAGAUUGGAAUGAAAUAGAAUUUCGACUGAGGAACAUGCAUCCUUUUUCGAAAAAUACAAAUUCUAAGAAGUAGAGUUUCAAAAAUUAAUAUUUUGUGAUGAUAAAACAUUAAAUUUAUAUGGAUAAUAAGUAUUGGAGGGAUCUACGGCACCCUCGGCAUACUUACUAUAAGCGCAAACAUGGCGGUGGAUCUCUAAUGAUGUGGGCUGCUCUUAGCGCCAAAGAGAAGUCUCCCAUUUGCCUUGUCCCGAGUCGUAUGAAAGCAAAAUAUAUAUGGAAUUGCUGGACAGUGAAUUUAUCACGUAUGCUGAGACAAAUCAUGGCAAUAACUUGGUGUUGCAGCAGGAUAACGCGCUUAUCCAAGUCGCAGGGUAUAAUAAAGCCUUUUUUGAGCCGCGUAAUAUUCCCUAACUUCGGUGUCCGUAAUUCAGUCUAGAACUGAAUUUAAUAGAGGAUUUAUGGGACAUACUUUCCGCAAUAUUUUUUAGCUGAACAAAGCGGUAUGACAGCUAAAACAAGCCAUUGAGGAGGAACGGGCGAAGAUAAACGUUUCAGUACUGUAAAAGUUGGCCACUUUUAUGACAAAUUCGCUAAUACUUUUGAAUAACAAGGGGGCCCAAUUUCAUAUUACUAAAUCGAAAAUAUUUCAUUCAAAUUGUUAACUAUUUAAAAGUUAAUAUUUAACUAAAAAUUUUAAUUUUGAACAAAUAGCUAUUUUCUAUGGUAUAAAAUUAAGUUUAAUUAAUUUGGUUACUUUUUCUUUUAGCAUGGUAUAUGUUUUUGUUUCUUUAAAUACUACUGACUAACAUCUAACAAAAAAAAAACAUGAAUAAAAUAUGCAAAGGUUGAAUAAAAAUUUAGAGAAAUAACAGUACACAAAUAUCAACUUUCCUGAGGUAUAUUCACCAGACAUGAUUCCGUGUGACUUUUUCCUCUUUUUAAAAAUAAAGAGAACCUUAAAAUGCCGUCGUUUUACAGAUAUACAAAAAGCCAUAGGCUAUCGAGUUCUUCGACGAUUGGAAGAAGCGCUGACAUAAGUGGAUAAUAUCGAAUGGGGACUCUUUUAAUUUGGACGAAUGAAUAAAUAUUUUAAUCAAAAAACGAAAAUUCCCUUUAUUUUUUGAACACAUCUCAUAUUUUCCGAUUCCGCUUAAAAAUAUUACGCUAGGUUAUAAUUAAUGGUCAAAUUUAGUCGAAAUAUUUGCUUAGGUACCUUUAUCAGUUUGGGAGGUAAAGAAUUUCAGGGAAAAAACUUCCAGACUUCAUUUAAAUGGCCGCCCAGGUGUGCUCCCAAAAUUUUAUGUGUUUUCUUAAAUACUUAAAAAUAGAAAUAUCGACAUACUACUUAAUACUAACUUUCCAGUAGAUUUGAUUUACAGAUGCAGUAUUCAUAAAUCAUUUACCCGCUUGAUUGGAGAGCAAUUAUACCAGCAUUAACCUUAAGUCCAUCAAGUGAUAAUAUUUUACGUCUUCGAGAAAAUUAAUUAGAAUAUUUCGAUGGAUAAACAGAAGUAGUUUCUUUAUAAUGAGGAUAAAUUGUUUACUGUGAAUUUUAAUGCUGGAGAUUCAUUUUGUCAAAUUUAGUGACCAAAAAUAUUAUGUAAAUUGCAAACAGUAAAAUUUCGAUUUGAAAGUGUUUUUACUAUAUAAAGACAAAUUGUAGACAAAUUGUACAGAGAGAGAGAAUUAUUAUUCAAAUGACAGCAAACUGUUAAUACCAAUUUGAUUGACAAGCCCAAAUUGAAAAUUUCUUCCUUCUUUCAAAACGUUUCUCAAUUUGGGUCAAAAGGUGUUCUAAUAAAUUUCCAUAAUUUGUCACACCUUUCUAUGAAAGUAAAAUGUCAACCAUUUUCAUUAUUUUGACUACCAUGCCAUUGAAUUUGACGCAGUGUAAACCACACCUAACCACGCUCAAAAUUAGGGACACACAUUUUUGAUUUGCAUUAAUUAUUUCUUUAUUAUUGUUAUAUAAUAGUAUUAACUAGGUACGUAUAUAUAUAUAUGUGUGUG